GACGAACGCUGGCGGCGUGCUUAACACAUGCAAGUCGACGACGCUACUGAGUAGCAAUAUUUAGUAGUGGAGUGGCGCAAGGGUGAGUAAUGUAUACGUAACCAACCCAUCGGAGACGGAUAACAUUUCGAAAGGGAUGCUAAAACGGCAUGAAGCCACGAUUUCGCAUGAGAUUGUGGUUAAAGAACCGGUAACAGGUUGCCGAUGGCUGGGCGUAUAUCCGAUUAGCUAGUUGGUAGUGUAAUGGACUACCAAGGCGACGAUCGGGAGCUGGUCUGAGAGGAUGAUCAGCCACACUGGCACUGAGACACGGGCCAGACUCCUACGGGAGGCAGCAGUGGGGAAUAUUGGGCAAUGCCCGCAAGGGUGACCCAGCAACGCCGCGUGGAGGAUGAAGGCCGUAAGGUUGUAAACUCUGACAAGCAGGGAAGAACGGCUAUGGUAAAAGGCCAUAGAAUGACGGUACCUGCCUGAAGCCCCGGCUAACUACGUG
rnacentral:rRNA from 1 species